rnacentral:lncRNA from 1 species
AAAAACUCUGAAAUGCUCCAUAUUCCUCAAUACAUCAUCGUUUCUUUUUCUCUUCAUCUUCCUAAAUUAUUUUUCGCCAACAGUCCAUGCCGAGAGAGAAGAACAACUGAGAUUGGUUUGCACACUAAAAUUCCUGCCGCCAAAUCGUCUCUGUGGUAUGAACUUUUUGAAGAAUUAUUUUUAUGUUUAUAGUUAUGCUUCUGCUUGAAAAGUUAAUAUUUUGUUGCUUCUGGGUAUUUGAACUUCAUUCUACUGUCGUUCUGGGGUUUCAUCUAUACAUUACAAAUCAUUAGGUUAUGGCCGUACAUUUUUAUAUGAAUAAUAUGUCGCGUAAUGCAUUUUGCCUCUGUUUGAUUACUGCAUUUUUCCUCUGUUUUGAGGACAUCUUCCGUUUGCAGAGCAAGUUCUCUAAUCUCAGCUACGUUUCUGGCUGGCUACGUUCUUAAUUAAUGGAUGUUGUAGUAGUGUUUGUAUUCAGCGACUUCACUUACCAACAUUCUGUAUUCCAUUGUAUGAAACCAGUAAGCUAGCCUUCUUCAUGUUAUCGAACUGUCCGCGCAUUUAUUAAGGAAUUUAGCUGGUAAAAUUUUAGUAGUAAGACCAAGGAAUUUAAUGCAUUUUGCAUACGGUUUAGUUUUAGCACAUUGUGCCUAAUAUAUCCAGAGCUUGUUAUCUAGUUUCUGGCUGGCUACGUUCUCUAUAACAUCAAUUGUCAUGCUGAUAUAUAUAAUGGGUAGCUGAGAUUAGAGAACUUGCUCUACAAACAUCAAUUAUUGCAUUUUGCAUACGAUUUAUUUUUCCUCUGUUUCUGGCUGGCUACGUUCUCUAUAACAUCAAUUCUGCGUCUUCUUUAGCAGACUUUGAAUUUCUAAGACUUUAUCCUUCACUCCAUAUAAGAAUUUAGCUUCAGAUAUCAACAAAUCUCCAAGCCUUUCAACAGCAAAAGAGACCACAACCUCUGCCAUUGAUAUAUAUUGAAACAACAAGUAGGUAGCUAGCUAGCUAGCUAGAUAGAUAAAAUUAAGACCAAGGGGUAGAAGAAGGAGUUUAAAAAUACAGCCAACCUGCACCUUAAGUUUCAAUCAAGUCAUGCUGCAUUAUUACAUUCCAACUAGUCAUUCUGCAUUACUCCAACUUAAUUACAGCAAACUUACAAUUAAGUUUCAAUUAUUUGUCACCAUAUCAAUUUUUUUAUUGCAUGCUUGGUUGUUACAAAGUAUUAAUCGUAGAUGACUUAAAAGGCCAAAUUGUCGUAGGAGCACUAGCAUAUUUGAGAGCUUUACAUAAGAGAACGAUGGCCCCAAGGCAAAAAAUUCGGAUUCCGUUUGCUGAAAUUGAUCUCAACGUUGAUCCUAAUAUUGAUUGUGGAGAUAGGCAACUAGAGAAGGAACCAAUACACGAUCUUACUGUCGAUGUGGACGAGUCAAUUCUCGAACGUGAUUUCGAUCUCAAUUCGACACCAAAUGAGAUAUCGUUAUCAAGUCAUGAUAUGUUAUUAGAAGAGCAACUUAUAGAAGAUGAUGAACAACUUGAAGAAGGAAUACAGACGAAUCAAACUACUUUGGAAUCUAGUAAAAUUUUUCUCUUUGAACUAUUUUAUGGUUAAUUGCUAGUUCCUUCAAUCAUGUGUUUCUUCCAUGUCUAUUGCUUUCAAUGCAGAUGCCGAGAUGUCAAGUGCACCAAGUGUUAAAAACAAAAAUUUAAGCAAUGUGGAACGCCAAGCUAUAUACGAUUUGCUUCUCCAAAAAAGUGUCGAUGGAAAAUUGAAAAAAGGGACAACUUACUUGGUGGCCUCUUUAUUUUCAGUUCAUAUAACCACUGUUCAAUGCAUUUGGAAGAGAGGACAAAACAGUGGGGUGUUUGCUGAUGUCUCAAGUCAAAGAACCAAAAAUUAUGGUCGUAAAAGAGUUCAUGUUGAUUUGGAGCAAAUCUGUGAGGUCCCUUUACAUAAGAGAACAACUAUUCGCUCUUUAGCUCAUGUUGUGACUAUCCCAAAGAGCACUUUGUUUAGACUAUUUCAAGAGGGAGAAAUACGACGACAUUCAAGUCCCGUCAAACCUUUCUUAACCGAAGACAACAAAAGAUCAAGACUUCAAUUUUGUUUGGAUAUGCUUGAAGAGGGUAGCUUACCACACAACCCAAGUUUCAAAGCCAUGUAUAACACGGUUCACAUUGACGAGAAAUAUUUCUUUAUGACAAAGAAAGCUCAGAAGUUCUACAUGCUACGAAAUGAACCGGAUCCAUAUCGCCCCUGUAAGAGCAAGAAUUUUAUUGUUAAAGUCAUUUUUUUUGUUGCUUUAGCUCGCCCAAGGUAUGAUGCAAAUGGAAAUGAACAAUUCUAAGGAAAAAUUGGCGUGUUUCCUUUUGUCAUACAAGAACCUGCUAGAAGGAACAGUGUUAACAGACCUGCUGGCACACUUGUGACAAAACCAAUAAAUUCGGUGACAAAGGAUGUUGUAAGGUCCUAUUUGAUUGAAAAUUUUUUGCCUGCAAUUAAAGAAAAAUGGCCAAGAGAUGAUUUGGGAUCUCCAAUUUUUAUUCAACAAGACAAUGCAAGAACACAUGUCGAUUGUAAUGACUAUGCAUUUUGUGAAGCUGCGACCAGAGAUGGGUUUGAUAUUCGUUUAUUAUGCCAACCUCCAAACUCUUCGGAUUUGAAUGUUUUGGAUCUUGGAUUUUUCAGUGCUAUUCAAUCCCUACAACAAAGAGAGUCAAUGCGAUCUAUCGAUGAGCUUAUAAGUGUAGUUGUUAAGGCAUUUGAAGAGUUUUCUAGUGUGAAUUCCAAUUGAAUAUUUUUGUCAUUGCAGCUAUGUAUGCAAGAAAUAAUGAGAUGUAAAGGUUCAAAUCAAUACAAGGUUCCUCAUAUCAAAAAAGAAAUAUUGGAACGUGAAGGCCAACUCCCUAUUCAGGUUAGUUGUGAACCUAAACUGGUGGAAGAAGUGCGCAACUACCUACAUUGUUGCUUGAUUCGGUAUGUAUCAGAUCUUCAUUCUGCACUAGCAUAUUUUUUUAGCAUGGCAACUGAUUCCAAGUAGAAAAUACCUAAAUUCUGUUAAUUGUGUAUGAGAUGUGGAAAUAAUUAAUUGAGGUUGGCUUUUACAUAGUUCUUUUAGAAUAACAUAGACAUUGGCUUUUACAGGUUCUGGGAAAUGCUAAAGAGGCUGUUGCAAUGGAAAUCUCCAAUUGUCAUUCUAAGCUGGAGCUGCAGAAUAGUUGAAAGUGAAUUCUUAUUUUUGAUUUUUGAGAUGUACUUGAAGCAUCCAUACUAUUUCCCCUUUUUUUAUUUCUAAGGGGCCAUUACUCUUUUUUUUUGGAAUACCUUUAUUCCAUUGAUACAAUGCUUGAAUUGAACAGUUGUUUGAAUUGAAC